GCCAACAGAACUGUCAUCCAACCGACGCCGCGGACCAAACGAAAACAAAAACAACACGCGCGCCACUCCAAUAUCAAUACAAUAAUAACUUUUACAGGACAGUUUAAGUCGUAACACCCGCAAAGACCAUCAUUGUCGUCCACGGACCGCGGACUAUAGUUUGGACGGCCGGCUGAUCGGUUAUGAAGUUAUACUAGUUAUAGUAUCAUCUGAUGAUGGAGAGGGAAGUCCACGAAAAUAUUGAAAACUGAUCGCAAAACGCAAAUCGAAAUUUACGUUCUUUCUAGUUCCGAUCAUUGGUUAUAAUUUAUAAGAAAUUUAAAAUAUAUUAUAAAUAAUUAACAGA